AGUGAACGCUGGCGGCGUGCUUAAUACAUGCAAGUCGAACGAUGAAGUCCUAGCUUGCUAGGAUGGAUUAGUGGCGCACGGGUGAGUAAUAUAUAGUUAAUCUGCCUUGCACUGAGGAACAACAGUUGGAAACGAUUGCUAAUACCUCAUACUCCAACUUUACAUAAGUUAAGUUGGGAAAGUCUUUUCGGUGCAAGAUGAGACUAUAUCGUAUCAGCUAGUUGGUAAGGUAAUGGCUUACCAAGGCUAUGACGCGUAACUGGUCUGAGAGGAUGAUCAGUCACAUUGGAACUGAGACACGGUCCAAACUCCUACGGGAGGCAGCAGUAAGGAAUAUUGUGCAAUUGGGGAAACCCUGACGCAGCAACGCCGCGUGGAGGAUGACACUUUUCGGAGCGUAAACUCCUUUUGUUAGGGAAGAAUAAUGACGGUACCUAACGAAUAAGCACCGGCUAACUCCGUG
rnacentral:rRNA from 1 species